CGCCCGGCCUGGCUGCCCGGCGCGCCCCAUUCGCGAUGGGCACCCCAUCUUCCUCUUGGAAAAGCCGGGGGACACAGAGAAGGCGGAGGAGCACGCGGGGUGCAGGAGAGCCUACCAGUCCCUUUAGCCGCAGUGCCAGUGAUGCCGGCCGCUGAACCCGGAGAGGAAAGGCUCCCACGCGGCCAGCCGGCCUUGACUGUCCUCCCGCCCUGCCCUUGGCCGCAGUACCCUCCCCUCAGCUGCAGUAACCGCCCCCUACACCUCCAGGCAAGGGCACGCUCAGUGUAGACCACCGCCACUUCCUAGAUGCCAGUGCCACUUAAGAGUGGUGUUGGGUUUUUUUCUUUCCUCCUCUUUGCACACCAGCACAUUGUGCCCGAAAGAAACUCACGGCGGUGCACUGCAGACACCGCCCAGCUCCACGGCUCGAAGACCCUCAGACCAGGCCCCGGGAUGCCUGAGGGCUCCCAGGUGGUAACGCGGAGGAACUCAGGCCUGCUCCCUGCGCAGGAGGAGGAGGCGUCGCGGGAGCUGCAGUCUCUGAUCCUCCCCAGGAAGCAGGAGGGGUGGAAGGGGAGAGGGCGGUUACCGUGGUGCGAAUCCAAUUCGCAGCCUCGGGGAGCACGUUGCUAAUAAAGGUCAAAUUAAAACAACUAAGCUAGUGGUGUCGGCAGGGACGCGCCGCAUGGUCAGGAGAAACUCGGCUAUUAAUCAUCCAUAACGAGCAUUGCUUUUCUGGUGUGGGAGAAUGGGGCUGUACGAGAGCCCCUCGGAGUUGCGCUCUACUCUGAACCCUAGUGCUCCCCCAGAGCAAGUGGAUUCUGCAGCCUAUUACCCCACCUCCCCAUGACCCCCUCUCGGGACGGCACCACCCUAGAUGGCAGGAAUUCGGAGAAAAUGCGGUGUCACGUCCGCCGCUUUGCCCGCAGACGCGUCUGCGCCAACUCCAGCAACACGUGGGGACCGUGAAUCUGGGCGUCUGCUCUCUACUUAGGUGGUUAUGUUGGUAUACUUAUAUGAUUAUUGAUUAUAACCAAAUUGGAUGGAGAAGUCUGUUUCUACACUGGAUUCCUUUAAACUUCUGUCCAAGGGAAUUUUGCACUCGAUUUGGGCGGAGACGCAGUUUCUAGCCAAGACCGCCGCAGCGCUCAGCGGAGCCCGGGAACCGGUGGUGGUGGUGGCGGAAUGGGGAGGAACAGAGGCCCUUGGUCCUUUGGUAUUCCUUUUUUCCUUAUUUAGACCAGUCGGGCAACACGUCCCUCGCCCCAGGUGGCCUUUCCAACUGGAAGGUGACUCAGACAAUAUGGAAGCCGGGGGUCCUUGACCCAUCGUACCUGCGAUUCGCUGGGCAAAGGACAAGUGACAAGGAGGUUUACCUGGAAAGGGAGUUUAUUCGUAAAGCUUCGGGCACAAACUCUGGAUAGAGAAACUUUGAGGAAACUCAAAGGGGUGGGGGAGCAUCUGAAGUAAAAAGGAACGGCCCUAUUACAUUAGUGUUAAUCUUAACAUUAGGGCCCCCUUAAAAUUGGAAGUUGACUGAGACAAGAGAAUCCCAGAGCACAGCACGCAGACAGACCAUUUCACAAUUAAAAA